UAAAGUAGAAUUCUGAACAGAUUUCUCCCCAACUCUUUCCCUGUGUCUCUCCCCAGUGUAGGCUGAACUGGGCCACAGCAUCCGAGCUGGGAGAACUGGGGGAAGAGACGGGAGAGGGCAGCUCCGCUGACUGGAGGAGUACCAGCUGGUCUCAAACAGGAUACACAUGGGUAUCCUCGAUGAAAGGUGGCUAUCGAGGAGGGGAGGACACUUCCAUUUGCCUGCUAAAUGAAUUGACACACUCCUCGACCACUCUACCAUUUAUCGGUUUCCG
rnacentral:lncRNA from 1 species